AUCCAGCUGAUUCGUCCUGAAUAGGACGAAAUAUACGUCCUGGAU
rnacentral:hammerhead_ribozyme from 1 species